AGAUGUCUACAGAAGCAGACUCCUUUUGAGUUUCUAAAGCAAACGCUAACUGCAGCCUAGAAGGGGAAGCAAGAUUUGGCUGAGGACAUAUGGUGUUGGCAACAUGGUUAACAAUGGAAUAUGCAACUAAUCUCCAGGUAUCUGUCCAAACAUGGACAAGUACUUCCUUGGCUGGCACCAAAUAUGCUACAAACUACCAGAAGUGCUGCUAUUAUGUUCACCCUAAGGCUGUGGCCAGAUGAACCUCCUGUCUCCAUUGUAGGUCAUUGGACAAUGCAUUUGGAUGUGACUUCAAGGGAAGAUGUGCUGACAGAAGGAGGCUAGCUUCAUCUUGUUACUCAGUACUACUACAUAUUGUCAGCUCUGAUCCUGAAGAUUUCUUGAUAGCCCAGUUCAUAGAGGACCAGUGACUGUGGGUAUGGAAAGCCACCUAGCAGGCCUCUUCCAAAGCCAGGAUGCCAAUUACUUGGUGCUUUAGAUUCUCCAAGGAAGCUCUACCUUGGGGAUCAUCUGGCUUUAGCUUAGAUACCAGACCACAAGCCUCGUGGAUAAUGGUUUCAGUAAAUGCCAGUGUCCCUCCUCUUAGUGCUAUUUCAAGGAGGGAAGUAGCUUUCCACACUCAGAAUGCUGGGUGCAUGCUCUCAUCCUGCCGCCAGUGGCUUUUUCACCUGCACCAGUGCCACCACUGCCCUCAGCCCCUAGGCUCACUUGCUAGAGGGAGGCAUGGGGGUUUACCAGGGAUACUUCAAGUUUACCCAUAUGUAUGUUGCAUCCAAGUUGUUUUUAAUAUAUAUAUAUAAAUAUAUAUAUCAAAAGCCAAUUAUCUAUUUUUAUAUUGUUUGCAUUUUAUAUUCAUGGAAACAAUGUUUAUCAAUUGUUCUUUUCUGAUAUAUUUUAUUUUUAAGCGGUGCUGUUUACAGUUUUAAACAAAAAAAUAGAUGACAUAAAAAUUGCUGCUGCUCAUGCAGAGGGAUGUCAUCUCAACUGUCUAGGGCCCUCCCUCUUUUCCCUCUCCCACCUGGCUGUGUCACACUAUUCAUUCUCUUUCCACACGGUAAGAACAGAAGAUGCCCAUGUACUGAAGACCAAUACCAGGUAACUCAAGCAUGUGGAACUUGGCAGACAGCAUGUUUUCUAGCUUUAAGGUUUUUUUUUCCUUUUGAACCCUCCCUUCUCUUGUGUAGACGUUUUAAAAGUACUCAUGCUUCUUGACUUUUAUUCUUUUCCUUUCU
rnacentral:lncRNA from 1 species